rnacentral:rRNA from 1 species
AUAUAUUACUUGUUAAAAAUAUGGGAGUUGGAGUUAAUAAUGAAAAAUAAUUUUUUAAAUAAAAUUUGAGUAUUUUUUAAAGAAAUUUUAUUUUAACAACAGUUUAUUAGUAUUGUGAGAGAAAGUUUAAUUAAGUUUGAAAUUUAUUAUAGUUUAAAGUAGAAGUUAAUUUAUGUACCUUGGGUAUUAGGGAUAAUUAAAAUUGAUUAUGAAUUGUGUGAGUCCCGAAAAAAAAAUAGUUAAUUUUAUAAGGUAGUUACUGUGUCAAGAGUAUUAUUAAUAUAAUUUUAAAGGUGAAAAGCUAGUCGGGUUUUUAUAUCUGGUUCUUUAAGAAUAAAUUUAAUUUUUUAUACAUAUUAAUAAGGGGAUUAUAUGUAUGGGAAGAGUAGGAGGGUAGAGCUUCUUAUUCUAUUGGAAUAAACUAUAAAUUAAUUUUUUUUAAGUAUUUAAGCUAAGCUUAGUGGUAGCUAUGUUUUUAAAGUUUUAAAACUAAUAAUAUUGGUUUUAAUAUUUAUUUAAUUUUAGUAGAUUAUUAAAGUAAUAAUUUAAAUUAAUUUUGUUAAGUAAAAAUAAUUGUAUAAGUAUAGUUUAUUUUUUAUAAUUAAAGUAUAAAAUAUUUAGUAUAUUUUAUUUAUAUUUUUGUAAGAAAAAGGAAUUCGGCAAAUUUAUUUAUUGCCUGUUUAUCAAAAACAUGUCUGUUUGAUGUUAUAAAUGGUCUAACCUGCCCACUGAAGAAUUUAAAGGGCCGCGGUAUUUUAACCGUGCAAAGGUAGCAUAAUCAUUAGUCUUUUAAAUGGAGGCUUGAAUGAAUGGUUGAACAAAUAAAUAACUGUCUCUUUUUUAAAGUUUGAAUUUAACUUUUAAGUGAGAAGGCUUAGAUGUAUCAAGGGGACGAUAAGACCCUAUAAAUCUUUAUAUAAGUAUUUUUUUUUGUUGAUAAAUUGUUUAAUAAUUUAGAGUAGAUAAUAUAUUAUAUUGGGGUGAUAAAAGUAUAAAUGGUGUAACUGCUUUUGGUUUAAUACUAAUAUUUUUGAUUAUUGUUAAUGAUCCUUUGAAAGAUUAAGAGAUUAAGUUACUUUAGGGAUAACAGCGUUAUUUUUUUUAAGAGUUCCUAUCGAAAAAAAAGUUUGCGACCUCGAUGUUGAAUUAAAAUUUCUUUAUGGUGUAGCCGUUAUAAGAGAAGGUCUGUUCGACCUUUAAAUUUUUACAUGAUUUGAGUUCAGACCGGCGUAAGCCAGGUCGGUUUCUAUCUCUUGAAUUUUAUAUAAUUAUUUUAGUACGAAAGGAUUAGAUAAUUUAAAUAUUUUUAUAAUUAGAUUACUUUU